rnacentral:ncRNA from 1 species
UUAAAGACUAUGAUUAGGAAAAGUACUUUUAUUAAUUUUUUAAGAGAGUGAUUGGUUGGUGUGAAAUCAUAAGAUUAUUUAAGGAAAAUCACCUAGGAGUUGGAGGCUGAAAGCUAUGCAAUUAAGCUGUCACGUUAGCCCGCGUUAAGGGAUAGGAUAUGAAAGUAUCUGAAAUUUGGCUCAUAGUAUAGUUAUGAGUUUAUUAACCUUAGGUGGUAUAGCGAAUUCACUUCGUCCUUUUG